AAUGAACGCUGGCGGCAUGCCUAACACAUGCAAGUCGAACGAAGGCUUCGGCCUUAGUGGCGCACGGGUGAGUAACGCGUAGGAAACUGCCUAUUGGUGGGGAAUAACGACGGGAAACUGUCGCUAAUACCGCAUAAGCCCUUCGGGGGAAAGAUUUAUCGCCGAUAGAUGUGCCCGCGUCCGAUUAGCUAGUUGGGGGGGUAAUGGCUCACCAAGGCGACGAUCGGUAGCUGGUCUGAGAGGACGAUCAGCCACACUGGGACUGAGACACGGCCCAGACUCCUACGGGGGGCAGCGGUGGGGAAUAUUGGAAAAUGGGCGAAAGCCUGAUCCAGCAAUGCCGGGUGAGUGAUGAAGGCCUUAGGGUUGUAAAGCUCUUUCGGGUGGGACGAUGAUGACGGUACCACCAGAAGAAGCCCCGGCUAACUUCGUGCCAGCAGCCGCGGUAA
rnacentral:rRNA from 1 species